UAGCAGCUAGUCUAACAACAAGACCUCUAGUUUCGACCUAGCUAAUCUCAACACGAUUGAGGCCGCUAA
rnacentral:tRNA from 1 species